ACACGUCUUGACAUAUCAUCAAAUACGAUUCUGGGUUCCUCUGGACAUAGUUCAUUAGAUUAAAUAAACUUUAUAAUGCAAAAUGCUAAGCAUUAGCCAAAUUCAGUAACUUCAUCGCGACCUAGGCUAGCUGUCACAAAGAUAAAAUGGCGGGCGUCGGCGAAACACGUAGCUCAGCCCUGAUCACAAAUUCACACAAAUAUGGAUAAAUAUCAAGCUGCCAAGUGAUUGUGAUCUGUUUGUUGAAGAACAAAGUUUCUACAUUUAACCAAUGAAAACAUCCCGCACUGACUACAGCUUCUACUACACCAAAUCAGAAUCAGGGCUUUGACAAGCAGAGCCUUCAAUACAGAUUGAAUCAUCUGGCAGCUGUGAUUGGACGAUUUUGUAAUCGUCUGCCGUGAAAGAAUGUGAACGAUAAGACGAUGUUGAGCAAAGAAAGGCAACCAUUGUGGAUUUCAACAUCGUUAUAUGAUACUAUUGCUGUUGUAGAUUGUAUAUGUUUGUUGCAGCUGCGUUGAUUGGCUGAUAUUUCAAGCAGUGUAAUGUAUAACAACUAGGUGAGCUACAGUCCCUAUGCGCCUAUGAAGAUACAUGUCACAAGUAUGUCGCACCUGUCCAAGUAUGGAAAGGCGUCCACUUACAUUUAUUAAUUCCAAGGACGGUGAAUGUAUGCCUGAAAGUUUAGUCCAGUAACAUGACUCUAAAUCCAUUUCAAUCAUUGCAUUGUUUACGUAGUCACGAAUGGUCAUGAUUAAGCCAAUGGAUUUCAAAGGGAAGAUAUUUUCGGCGAGAGCGUAACGCAAAGCUUGCAGAGUCUCGUGUCACGCCUUGUGACUUCGAGAGCGAUUCAAUUAUUGUUUCAUCAAAGUGAAAUAUUGUUGUUUUUAUACUACGUGAGAAAACAAUCAUUGAUCACAAUUCGGGCAAGAUAAUGUUUCAUGAACACAAAAUACUGAUAUGGUCGCUGGCCUAGGUCAAUAUCCGUUUCUUGGGUCCAUAAAACACGUAGUUGGACCUAUUAAGAAUAUUGCAAUUCCAUUUGUUAAUCCGUACCACGUGACAAAACAGUACCUUUCGAUAUAGACCCCCUAAUCAUGUGCCUGACACUGACCUCGAAUAUUGACUCGUCACAUGAUCAGUAUUGACCUGUCAUGUGAUGAAUGUUGACUCUCGUCUGCUAGAAAACAAAAUGGCGUCCCGUAACAUUUCACGAUUCGACGUUAUGUCAGAAGAAGAUAUUGUUGACAUGCUGGAUAACAGAAACCUGCUUCGUCAUGUUAGGUGCUCAUGAUGGUUGGGAAUCCUCUUGGGGAGAUUUCCAUUGAAUGGGAGUUUGGCGUCUGGCCUUACUCGCGAACUGGUAUCCGAUCCAUCUUAGAAAU